rnacentral:tRNA from 2 species
GGGCGAUUAGCUCAGCUGGCUAGAGCGCCGGUUUCACAUACCGGAGGUCCGCAGUUCAAGUCUGCGAUUGCCCACCA